rnacentral:rRNA from 1 species
CUUACGGGAGACAGCAGUGAGGAAUAUUGGUCAAUGGACGAGAGUCUGAACCAGUCAAGUAGCGUGAAGGAUGACUGCCCUAUGGGUUGUAAACUUCUUUUAUAUGGGAAUAAAAUGUUCCACGUGUGGGAUUUUGUAUGUACCAUAUGAAUAAGGAUCGGCUAACUCCGUGCCAGCAGCCGCGGUAAUACGGAGGAUCCGAGCGUUAUCCGGAUUUAUUGGGUUUAAAGGGUGCGUAGGUGGAUUGUUAAGUCAGUUGGGAAAGUUUGCGGCUCAACCGUAAAAUUGCAGUUGAAACUGGCAGUCUUGAGUACAGUAGAGGUAGGCGGAAUGCGGGGUGUAGCGGUGAAAUGCUUAGAUAUCACGAAGAACUCCGAUUGCGAAGGCAGUUCACUGGACUGACACUGACACUGAGGCUCGAAAGUGUGGGUAUCGAACAGGAUUAGAUACCCCAGUAGUC